GAUGAACGCUGGCGGCGUGCCUAAUACAUGCAAGUCGAGCGAACAGACGAGGAGCUUGCCUCUCUGACGUUAGCGGCGGACGGGUGAGUAACACGUGGAUAACCUACCUAUAAGACUGGGAUAACUUCGGGAAACCGGAGAUAAUACCGGAUAACAUAUUGAACCGCAUGGUUCAAUAGUGAAAGACGGUUUUGCUGUCACUUAUAGAUGGAUCCGCGCCGCAUUAGCUAGUUGGUAAGGUAACGGCUUACCAAGGCAACGAUGCGUAGCCGACCUGAGAGGGUGAUCGGCCACCCUGGAACUGAGACACGGUCCAUACUCCUACGGGAGGCAGCAGUAGGGUAUCUGCGGCAAUGGGCGAAAGCCUGACGGAGUAACGGCGCGUGAGUGAUGAAGGUCUUCGGACCGUAAAACUCUGUUAUUAGGGAAGAACAAAUGUGUAAGUAACUAUGCACGUCUUGACGGUACCUAAUCAGAAAGCCACGGCUAACUACGUG
rnacentral:rRNA from 1 species